rnacentral:rRNA from 1 species
AAACUUAAAGGAAUUGACGGGGACCCGCACAAGCAGCGGAGCAUGUGGUUUAAUUCGAAGCAACGCGAAGAACCUUACCAAGGUUUGACAUCCCCUUGACAGAAGCAGAGAUGUUUCCUCCCCUUCGGGGGCAAGGGAGACAGGUGGUGCAUGGUUGUCGUCAGCUCGUGUCGUGAGAUGUUGGGUUAAGUCCCGCAACGAGCGCAACCCUUAUCCUUAGUUGCCAGCAGGUUAAGCUGGGCACUCUAAGGAGACUGCCGGUGAUAAACCGGAGGAAGGUGGGGAUGACGUCAAAUCAUCAUGCCCCUUAUAUCUUGGGCUACACACGUGCUACAAUGGUCGGUACAAAGGGAAGCGAAAGAGUGAUCUGGAGCAAAUCUUCAUAAACCGAUCCCAGUUCGGAUUGUAGGCUGCAACUCGCCUACAUGAAGUUGGAGUUGCUAGUAAUCGCGAAUCAGAACGUCGCGGUGAAUGCGUUCCCGGGUCUUGUACACACCGCCCGUCACACCAUGGAAGUUGGUAAUACCCAAAGUCGCUGAGCUAACCGCAAGGGGGCAGGCGCCUAAGGUAGGAUC